GACGAACGCUGGCGGCGUGCCUAAUACAUGCAAGUAGAACGCACAGUUUAUACCGUAGCUUGCUACACCAUAGACUGUGAGUUGCGAACGGGUGAGUAACGCGUAGGUAACCUGCCUGGUAGCGGGGGAUAACUAUUGGAAACGAUAGCUAAUACCGCAUAAUAUUGAUUAUUGCAUGAUAAUUGAUUGAAAGAUGCUAUUGCAUCACUACCAGAUGGACCUGCGUUGUAUUAGCUAGUAGGUGAGGUAACGGCUCACCUAGGCGACGAUACAUAGCCGACCUGAGAGGGUGAUCGGCCACACUGGGACUGAGACACGGCCCAGACUCCUACGGGAGGCAGCAGUAGGGAAUCUUCGGCAAUGGACGAAAGUCUGACCGAGCAACGCCGCGUGAGUGAAGAAGGUUUUCGGAUCGGAAAGCUCUGUUGUAUGAGAAGAACGGGUGUGAGAGUGGAAAGUUCACACUGUGACGGUAUCUUACCAGAAAGGGACGGCUAACUACGUG
rnacentral:rRNA from 1 species